GAGGAAUAUUGGUCAAUGGGCGCAAGCCUGAACCAGCCAUGCCGCGUGCAGGAAGAAGCAUCUAUGGUGUGUAAACUGCUUUUAUACAGGAAGAAACACCUCCACGUGUGGAGGCUUGACGGUACUGUAGGAACAAGGAUCGGCUAACUCCGUGCCAGCGGCCGCGGUAAUACGGAGGAUCCAAGCGUUAUCCGGAAUCAUUGGGUUUAAAGGGUCCGUAGGCGGUCUUAUAAGUCAGUGGUGAAAGCCCAUCGCUCAACGAUGGAACUGCCAUUGAUACUGUAAGACUUGAAUUUUUGUGAAGUAACUAGAAUAUGUAGUGUAGCGGUGAAAUGCUUAGAUAUUACAUGGAAUACCAAUUGCGAAGGCAGGUUACUAACAAACGAUUGACGCUGAUGGACGAAAGCGUGGGGAGCGAAC
rnacentral:rRNA from 1 species